rnacentral:tmRNA from 1 species
CUGCUUGCACCUGGUCGCCGCAAUCCCUAUAUCGAGGGGGCUCGGGAAACCGGGCUAUGGCAAUACAGGAUGGCGUGAAAUAGACGCAGCGGACCCGGGGGCAGUACCCGGCGGCUCCACCAUCAUUCCCCCCGGUUGUCGCGGGGAUGUCUGGGGCCGAACCAGGAUCGACGUGUGUUCAAAGACGAUCAUCUUUGCCCGGCCUGAAUGCGCCGUUAAACCGUUCAAAACACCAUAAAUGCCAACGACAACGAGGCAUUCGCAAUCGCAGCGUAACACAAGGUCCUCACGGACUUAGUUACACUGGCCGAAAGCGCGGCUGGGCCGAGCCGGGCAACAGAAUCGGACACC